rnacentral:rRNA from 1 species
UAGGGAAUCUUCCACAAUGGGCGGCAAGCCUGAUGGAGCAACACCGCGUGAGUGAAGAAGGGUUUCGGCUCGUAAAACUCUGUUGUUAAAGAAGAACACGUAUGAGAGUAACUGUUCAUACGUUGGCGGUAUUUAACCAGAAAGUCACGGCUAACUACGUGCCAC